AAGCUGGGCCGGGGGUGCGGUGAAUGCGUGGGGGUGAAGGGUUGUCCGUGUUGAGUUGGGCUAAAGGGGGCGGGGGGUGUUCGGAGAGUCGGAUGUGGAAGCUCCACGCGGAACGAGGAGGGGCCAUUCGAAACUGCUGUGACUUGAGUCCGGUAGGGGAGUGUGGAGUUCCCGGUGUAGCGGUGAAAUGCGCAGAUAUCGGGAGGAACACCAGUAGCGAAGGCGGCACUCUGGGCCGGUACUGACGCUGAGGAGCGAAAGCGUGGGGAGCGAACAGGAUUAGAUACCCGAGUAGUC
rnacentral:rRNA from 1 species